rnacentral:lncRNA from 1 species
AGAAAGAACGUCUUUGCAUACAAAUAUUCUUCACUAGUCUUGGUAUAUAUCCUUUUCCCAUCUCUCUCUUGUUCGUGUUUUCGUGCUCUAACUAUAUAUAUACACAUGAAAGAGUGACAGAAAGCAUUUAUCCUUGAAAAACUUUGCAGGCAUUCAUUAUACUUUCAUGCAUUAUAUCUGUGUCUGUGAACUUCAGCACAUUCAUGGUUAUCGGCAAGACCUCACCAGUUACUUAUCAAGUGCUUGGACACCUCAAAACUUGCCUUGUUCUUGGCUUUGGGUACACUCUGUUACAUGAUCCUUUCACAAUG